UACGUAGGGGGCGAGCGUUGUCCGGAUUUAUUGGGCGUAAAGAGCGUGUAGGCGGCCAGGUAGGUCUGCUGUGAAAACUCGAGGCUCAACCUCGAGACGUCGACCGAAACCAUCUGGCUAGAGUCCGGGAGAGGAGAGUGGAAUUCCUGGUGUAGCGGUGAAAUGCGCAGAUAUCAGGAAGAACACCCGUGGCGAAAGCGGCUCUCUGGAACGGUACUGACGCUGAGACGCGAAAGCGUGGGGAGCGAACAGG
rnacentral:rRNA from 1 species